rnacentral:tRNA from 1 species
GGUUUGCGGCUCAAUGGUAGAACACUUGCCUAGCAUACAUGAGGACCUGGGUUCAAUCCUCAGCACCA